AUGACAUCUGCACAUCGUCGCUUCUUAUCUCCCAGCCGCCACCUGCAUAGGGCACACUCCGACCAUGCAACCGCCAAGGUCGCCGACCACAUCGUGCACGUCCACGCCAUCGACCUCGGCGGACGGUGCCGCAAUGUUCGUCAGUAUGUCCUGUUGGUUGAGGAGCGCGAAGGAAGUGGGCUGAGGGAAGUGGGGGCGGCGGCAGAAGCAGCAUGGGUGUCCUACGGUGAGCGCUUUGAGGGAUUCUGCAGAGCAGUUCUCCCCGGAGGCCUGAUGCAUCCAACCGUACAAGGAAACUUGAAAACUACACCACAACUCUUAGGCUUGCCAAAAUAUGAGGAUUAUCACUCAGUCAUGAGCGAAACUGGAUGUACCCGGUAAGGAUGGAGGCGAGAUGGGGCCAUAGAGCCCCCUUUUGCGCAGGAGGGAGUAUGUCUGAGCCGAAGGCAACAAUUGUGGCCGCUUCCAGAGCCGAAGCCACCUGCGGAGUCAAUGUCAUGGUCGCCCCAGAGCGGAAUCCAUCGCCUAGGCCACAAGAGUAGGAGCUGCUGUCGCGGAGGUCAUCUCUGAACCUAUACUGAACUUUCUAUGGAUGGAGGUCAAGACCAAGCUUUAGGCAGGAAAAUGGGACAAUCUUCAGUAAGCUACAAUGUUCAUGUCUUCUUAUAUCAUUUGACUGAUGUGUUCUUGUAUCAUUCUUCUACUUUCGGAGCUAUUACUGCGAUCAUUUUGACCUCAUGUCUUCUUAUAUCAUUUGACCUUAUCUAGAUAUUAGUGGUUCUUAAUCCAGCAAGGUCUUGAAUAUUUUUCGCUUUGUCCAUUCAAAAUUUUGUUCUUCUAGCAACGUUCAUGGUUUAAGCUUUGAUUCGAAAAACAACUUUCAAUUUUAUAGGAGACACAAAGAGCAACAACAAGCCGCUGUAGAUAUUAUGUAGUAGCAGCAUUAAAGAUCUGCUAAUGUUAUAUUUUCUUAUUCUUUCCUUAAUAUCUACAUGACCAACGUGUAUUUUUAAUGAUCAAACAUGCACAUGUCACAUUAAGAGGUUGAGAGUAGCUCAAAAGAUAUGCAUACAUCCUCUACCUUUUACCUAAUGAAAUAUUUCUAAAGCCAUAGUAGAUGUCAGGUGUAAAUUCCAUGAAGAACUGUUGGUUUUUGUAAUUAUUUCGUGAAACUUUCAUUGUAGGGUUCUAGGUUUGGUGAAUAAGCAGGGUUGUCUUCUUUCUUUAGUAUCUGCAUGAUCAAGUCGGUCUGUACUUUUAAUGAUCAUACCUGCACAUGUCACAUUAAGAUUGAAUAUAUUGUGACUUUUCUAACCAUUUCUUGUUAAUUGCUUGAGGAAAAACUAACAGGAAUUUUUUUCUUAGAAAUCCCAAGGAAGUAAUUGUUCUCACUGUUUUGGUAAAAUAACAUAUAUUUUUGUUGUAUGUAUACUUAAUUUCAGGAGAUGUAGAUUUUCUUGUUAUCUUAUAUAUGUUCCUUUUCUUUUUUUUUUCUUGUGAAAAAUGAGUUCAACAAGGGCUCCUCAUUCUAGCCUCCUGGGGUUGAAAUGAUUACUCCUUUAAUUGAUUUGAAGAUUGUUAAUUUUUUAUAUUUGGAAACGCUUGGAAGCUUUCCUUUGUUUUGGCGUUAUGAAGAUCUUAUGCUGCAGGGAGAUUUCACCGAUGCCACAAAGAUGCUGCUGCAUCGAACGCAUAGGAUAAGAUGAUAUUAGUAAGUAUCUAUCAUCUACAUUUUGCUUUUGUCUUCAAUUUUGUAGGAUUUCUUUUCUUUCAACAACGUUUUAGAAAUAUAAAUACUUUCUUAUAUGUUUAUCCAGCCAUCCACAUUUAACUAGGUUGCAAAGAACAUUGAAGUGAUAACUGCAUGUGUAAGUACCAUGGAUGAGCUAGCAAAACAUACAUUUUUAUGCUAGAGUGCAUAUGGAUUAGGUAUGUGUAUUUGUUGGCAAUGUUCAUGUGUGAGAAAGCAAGGUCCAUAAGAUAUCUAGGGGAUUAGAGGUGGUAUGAUUUAAAGAUAAAGCAUCGUCUUGAGUGCUUUUUUUCAUGUGGUUGCUGCAUGGGCUUCAAAUAAUUUACUUGGGACUUCAUUCAGAAGUACAACUGGUAAUCCGAGAUCAAUACUGAGAUCAGACAUCAGAUACAAUAUAAUUUUUUUUGUACAAACAAAAUCUAUGAUAUCGUGCCAUUCUAUGAGUGUUUAGAAAUAAGUUUGGUAUCUGCUACAAUGUACAUAUAACUUGGUCAUCCUAAAGAAACUUUAUCUUGCAUAUUGCUUGGUUACAAGAUAAGAACUAAUAUGUAUUACAAAUAUCUAGGGAAAUCUUUUGAUUUUUUUGUACAUAUAUUAUCAGAGAUGCCAAAUAGCAGGUUGCUUCAAACCAGGGGAACUGACUGGUUCAUAGAUGGUAGAACGUUCAAUCUUCGACGAUGCUCAGGGAGCAAACAAGGGGAAUUAGAAACCCAACAGUUAAUGGAGAAAUCAGGUCACUUUGCAUCUACUUUGCCUCAGUUUUUUCAGAAGUCAAUAGAGUUUGUAAAAAAAAGAAACAUGAUCCUGCGGCGGUUGCCCAGACUUUUUUUUUCCGGGUAGUAAUGUUUGGAUGGGACAUGUCCCUCAUUUCGUAAUCACUUUGUAAUUUCUACUUGUGCUAUGUAAUAGACGCCUUACAUAAAAAGGCAGUAUGUUUUAUAGAUACUCCCUCUGUUGAGAAUAAUUAUCACUAUAACUUUCUUUAUGAGGACUUGUUGUGUCGCAUGUUCAAUAACAGGUAGAAGAAAGGAUACACAUAUAAAUUCAUAGCAUGUAUGGUAAACUCCUG
rnacentral:rRNA from 1 species